UCGUCAGCUCGUGCCGUGAGGUGUCGGCUUAAGUGCCAUAACGAGCGCAACCCCUGCGUGUAGUUGCCAUCAGGUGAUGCUGGGCACUCUGCACGGACUGCCACCGUAAGGUGUGAGGAAGGUGGGGAUGACGUCAAAUCAGCACGGCCCUUACGUCUGGGGCUACACACGUGUUACAAUGGGUGGUACAGCGAGUUGUCCGCCGGCAACGUCGGACCAAUCUUGAAAACCAUUCUCAGUUCGGAUUGGGGUCUGCAACCCGACCCCAUGAAGCUGGAUUCGCUAGUAAUCGCGCAUCAGCCAUGGCGCGGUGAAUACGUUCCCGGGCCUUGUACACACCGCCCGUCAAGCCAUGAAAGCCGGGGGCGCCUGAAGUCCGUUUCCGCGAGGUUCGGCCUAGGGUGAAACUGGUGAUUGGGGCUAAGUCGUAACAAGGUAGCCGUA
rnacentral:rRNA from 1 species